GGUCUACAGGUAAUUAACUUAACCGUGGUCUACAGGUGGUUAACAGCCUGUGGUCUACAGGUAAUUAACUUAACCGUGGUCUACAGGUAGUUAACAGCCUGUUGUCUACAGGUAGUUAACAGCCUGUGGUCUACAGGUAAUUAACUUAAUCGUGGUCUACAGGCAAUUAACUUAACCGUGGUCUACAGGUAGUUAACUUAACCGUGGUCUACAGGUAGUUAACAGCCUGUGGUCUACAGGUAAUUAACUUAACCGUGGUCUACAG
ensembl:lncRNA